rnacentral:rRNA from 1 species
GACGAACGCUGGCGGCGUGCCUAACACAUGCAAGUCGAGCGGGGUUGAAGCGAGGGGUAACUCGAGUUUCUACCUAGCGGCGGACGGGUGAGUAACGCGUGGGCAACCUGCCUCAAGGACUGGGAUAACAGCUCGAAAGGGCUGCUAAUACCGGAUAAGCCUAUGGCCUCGCAUGGGGCCAUGAGCAAAGGGGAAACCCGCCUUGAGAUGGGCCCGCGUCCCAUCAGCUAGUUGGUGAGGUGAAGGCUCACCAAGGCGACGACGGGUAGCCGGCCUGAGAGGGUGACCGGCCACACUGGGACUGAGACACGGCCCAGACUCCUACGGGGGCAGCAGUGGGGAAUCUUGCACAAUGGGCGAAAGCCUGAUGCAGCGACGCCGCGUGAGCGAAGAAGGCCUUCGGUUGUAAGCUCUGUCUGGAGGGACGGAAACAAAUAGACGGUACCUCCGGAGGAAGCCACGGCUAACUACGUGCCAGCAGCGCGGUAAACGUAGCGUG